CACGUGUGUGUACGUGUGUGUGCAUGCGUGCACAUGUGUGCAUGUGUGUGUGCAAGCAUGCUUGGAGUAGAUGUAGAUUUCUCAACUCGUGUGUUGUCUAUGCAACAGAUGAAAUCUGAACGUUCCGUCGCCGCUCAGUCCAGCUUCGAUGCACUCGUGAAAUACUGCGAAACAGCAUCUCGAUGCAGACACGAAUCAAUAGCAGAUUUCUUUGGCGAGAAAGACAAGCCAGCAUGUGACCAAGGAUGUGACUACUGUCAAGAUCCCGAUGCCACACAAAAGUCACUUCACCAGUUGGAGGAAUCCUCGUUCACCCAUUUACAUCAUAAUAGCAAGACCAUGGCUAUUAUAUCAAAACGUGUACCCGACCCAUCACUCUACGGUGGUGGCCG